rnacentral:rRNA from 1 species
CCUACGGGGGGCAGCAGUGAGGAAUAUUGGUCAAUGGACGAGAGUCUGAACCAGCCAAGUAGCGUGAAGGAUGACUGCCCUAUGGGUUGUAAACUUCUUUUAUAUGGGAAUAAAAUGUUCCACGUGUGGGAUUUUGUAUGUACCUUAUGAAUAAGGAUCGGCUAACUCCGUGCCAGCAGCCGCGGUAAUACGGAGGAUCCGAGCGUUAUCCGGAUUUAUUGGGUUUAAAGGGAGCGUAGGUGGAUUGUUAAGUCAGUUGUGAAAGUUUGCGGCUCAACCGUAAAAUUGCAGUUGAAACUGGCAGUCUUGAGUACAGUAGAGGUAGGCGGAAUUCGUGGUGUAGCGGUGAAAUGCUUAGAUAUCACGAAGAACUCCGAUUGCGAAGGCAGUUCACUGGACUGCAACUGACACUGAGGCUCGAAAGUGUGGGUAUCAAACAGGAUUAGAUACCCGAGUAGUC